GACGAACGCUGGCGGCGUGCUUAACACAUGCAAGUCGAACGGAAAGGCCCUGCUUUUGUGGGGUGCUCGAGUGGCGAACGGGUGAGUAACACGUGAGUAACCUGCCCUUGACUUUGGGAUAACUUCAGGAAACUGGGGCUAAUACCGGAUAGGAGCUCCUGCUGCAUGGUGGGGGUUGGAAAGUUUCGGCGGUUGGGGAUGGACUCGCGGCUUAUCAGCUUGUUGGUGGGGGAGUGGCUUACCAAGGCUUUGACGGGUAGCCGGCCUGAGAGGGUGACCGGCCACAUUGGGACUGAGAUACGGCCCAGACUCCUACGGGAGGCAGCAGUGGGGAAUAUUGCACAAUGGGCGGAAGCCUGAUGCAGCAACGCCGCGUGCGGGAUGACGGCCUUCGGGUUGUAAACCGCUUUCGCCUGUGACGAAGCGUGAGUGACGGUAAUGGGUAAAGAAGCACCGGCUAACUACGUGC
rnacentral:rRNA from 1 species